AUCCAUCAGACGAGUGCCAAAUAGGACGAAACGCACAUCCUGGAU
rnacentral:hammerhead_ribozyme from 1 species